rnacentral:rRNA from 1 species
AUGAGCAGGCGCUGGAGCAGGACGAUCUAUGUUGGCAACCUCCCUGGGGAUAUCCGGGAGAGGGAGGUGGAGGACCUCUUCUACAAGUAUGGCCGUAUUGUUGAUAUUGACCUGAAGGUUCCUCCAAGGCCGCCUGGCUAUGCUUUUGUUGAGUUUGAAGAUCCUCGUGACGCCGAAGAUGCCUGUGCUGGACGGGAUGGGUAUAACUUCGAUGGAAAUCGUCUAAGAGUGGAACCUGCUCAUGGUGGGAGAGGUAGUGGUGGCCCCUCUCAUGAUCGUUCUAGCAGCUUUGGUGGCGGCGGCGGCGGUGGCGGACGCCGGGGUGUCUCCAGGCACACGGAUUACCGUGUUCUGGUUACUGGCCUGCCUUCUUCUGCGUCCUGGCAAGAUUUAAAGGACCAUAUGCGAAGGGCUGGUGAUGUUUGUUUCGCAGAAGUGUAUCGUGAAGGCGGCGGCACCAUAGGAAUUGUGGACUACACAAACUAUGAUGAUAUGAAAUAUGCUAUAAAGAAACUGGAUGACACUGAAUUUAAGAAUGCAUUUUCUAAAGGUUAUAUAAGGGUGAAGGAAUAUGAUGGCAAACGUGGGCGCUCCUACUCACGUAGCCGGAGCCCAAGUCGUAGCCGCAGCAAAAGCAGGAGCCCAAGCAAAUCUCCCAGGGCCCGCUCAGCAUCUAGGUCCAGAUCAAGGUCUCUUUCUUCCCGUUCUCGUUCAGCAUCAAAAGGACGUUCUCCAUCAAGAUCACCAGCAAGAUCGAAAUCCCCAAUUGCUUCUCCGGCAAACGGUGUAGUGGCAAGUCCAGGGGCAAGCCCGAAGAAACGCAGUCCAAGCAGGAGUCCAUCUCGUUCACGGUCACCUGAUGUAAAUGCGAAAUCUGAAUAG